rnacentral:rRNA from 1 species
UCAAGUAAUUAAGUGCAUGUGGUGGAUGCCUUGGCAGUCAGAGGCGAUGAAAGACGUGAUAGCCUGCGAAAAGCUCCGGGGAGGCGGCAAAUAUCCUUUGAUCCGGAGAUGUCUGAAUGGGGGAACCCACCUACUUUAAGGUAGGUAUUGCAACAUGAAUACAUAGUGUUGCAAGGCGAACGAGGGGAAGUGAAACAUCUCAGUACCCUUAGGAAAAGAAAUCAAUUGAGAUUCCUCAGUAGCGGCGAGCGAACGGGGAUCAGCCCAUUAAGUUAUGUGUGUUUUAGUGGAACGCUCUGGGAAGUGCGAACGUAGAGGGUGAUAUUCCCGUACACGAAAGGGCACACAUAAUGAUGACGAGUAGGGCGAGGCACGUGAAACCUUGUCUGAAUAUGGGGGACCAUCCUCCAAGGCUAAAUACUCCUGACUGACCGAUAGUGAACCAGUACCGUGAGGGAAAGGCGAAAAGAACCCCUGUGAGGGGAGUGAAAUAGAUCCUGAAACCGCAUGCAUACAAGCAGUGGGAGCACCUUCGUGGUGUGACUGCGUACCUUUUGUAUAAUGGGUCAGCGACUUAUAUUCAGUAGCGAGGUUAACCGUAUAGGGGAGCCGUAGAGAAAUCGAGUCUUAAUAGGGCGUUUAGUUGCUGGGUAUAGACCCGAAACCAGGCGAUCUAUCCAUGAGCAGGUUGAAGGUUGGGUAACACUAACUGGAGGACCGAACCCACUGUCGUUGAAAAGCCAGGGGAUGACUUGUGGAUAGGGGUGAAAGGCUAAUCAAGCCUGGUGAUAGCUGGUUCUCCCCGAAAGCUAUUUAGGUAGCGCCUCGGACGAAUACCAUAGGGGGUAGAGCACUGUUUCGGCUAGGGGGUCAUCCCGACUUACCAAACCGAUGCAAACUCCGAAUACCUAUGAGUACUAUCCGGGAGACAGACUGCGGGUGCUAACGUCCGUAGUCAAGAGGAAAACAAUCCAGACCGCCAGCUAAGGCCCCAAAAUCAUAGUUAAGUGGGAAACGAUGUGGGAAGGCAUAGACAGCUAGGAGGUUGGCUUAGAAGCAGCCACCCUUUAAAGAAAGCGUAAUAGCUCACUAGUCGAGUCGGCCUGCGCGGAAGAUGUAACGGGGCUAAAACUAUGUGCCGAAGCUGCGGAUGUAUACUUUGUAUACGUGGUAGGGGAGCGUUCUGUAAGCCGAUGAAGGUGUGUUGAGAAGCAUGCUGGAGGUAUCAGAAGUGCGAAUGCUGACGUGAGUAACGACAAAACGGGUGAAAAACCCGUUCGCCGAAAGACCAAGGGUUCCAGUCCAACGUUAAUCGGGGCUGGGUGAGUCGACCCCUAAGGCGAGGCCGAAAGGCGUAGUCGAUGGGAAAAUGGUUAAUAUUCCAUUACUUCUGUGUAAUGCGAUGAGAGGACGGAGAAGGCUAAAUCAGCCUGGCGUUGGUUGUCCAGGUGAAAGGAUGUAGGCAUGUAUCUUAGGCAAAUCCGGGGUACUCUAUGCUGAGAUCUGAUAGCAAGCUGUACUUGUACAGCGAAGUGGUUGAUGCCAUGCUUCCAGGAAAAGUCUCUAAGCUUCAGUUACACAGGAAUCGUACCCGAAACCGACACAGGUGGUCAGGUCGAGUAGACCAAGGCGCUUGAGAGAACUCUGCUGAAGGAACUAGGCAAAAUGGUACCGUAACUUCGGGAGAAGGUACGCUGUUGUUGGUGAUGGAACUCGCUUCCUGAGCUGACGACAGCCGCAGAAACCAGGCCGCUGCAACUGUUUAUUAAAAACAUAGCACUCUGCAAACACGAAAGUGGACGUAUAGGGUGUGAUGCCUGCCCGGUGCUGGAAGGUUAAUUGAUGGGGUUAGCGUAAGCGAAGCUCUUGAUCGAAGCCCCAGUAAACGGCGGCCGUAACUAUAACGGUCCUAAGGUAGCGAAAUUCCUUGUCGGGUAAGUUCCGACCUGCACGAAUGGCAUAAUGAUGGCGGCGCUGUCUCCAGCAGAGGCUCAGUGAAAUCGAAAUCGCUGUGAAGAUGCAGUGUACCCGCGGCUAGACGGAAAGACCCCGUGAACCUUUACUGCAGCUUGACACUGAACUUUGACCUUACUUGUGUAGGAUAGGUGGGAGGCUUUGAAGCUGGAACGCUAGUUCCAGUGGAGCCGUCCUUGAAAUACCACCCUGGUAAUGUUGAGGUUCUAACUCUGUCCCGUGAUCCGGGACGAGGACCGUGUCUGGUGGGUAGUUUGACUGGGGCGGUCUCCUCCUAAAGAGUAACGGAGGAGUACGAAGGUGCGCUCAGCGUGGUCGGAAAUCACGCGUAGAGUAUAAAGGCAAAAGCGCGCUUAACUGCGAGACCCACAAGUCGAGCAGGUACGAAAGUAGGUCUUAGUGAUCCGGUGGUUCUGUAUGGAAGGGCCAUCGCUCAACGGAUAAAAGGUACUCUGGGGAUAACAGGCUGAUACCGCCCAAGAGUUCAUAUCGACGGCGGUGUUUGGCACCUCGAUGUCGGCUCAUCUCAUCCUGGGGCUGAAGCAGGUCCCAAGGGUAUGGCUGUUCGCCAUUUAAAGAGGUACGCGAGCUGGGUUUAGAACGUCGUGAGACAGUUCGGUCCCUAUCUACCGUGGGCGCUGGAAAUUUGAGAGGAUCUGCUCCUAGUACGAGAGGACCAGAGUGGACGAACCUCUGGUGUACCGGUUGUGACGCCAGUCGCAUCGCCGGGUAGCUAUGUUCGGAAGGGAUAACCGCUGAAAGCAUCUAAGCGGGAAGCCUACCUCAAGAUAAGAUUUCCCUAGGACUUUAUGUCCUCUAAAGAGCCGUUCGAGACUAGGACGUUGAUAGGUUGGAUGUGGAAGCAUAGUGAUAUGUGAAGCUGACCAAUACUAAUUGCUCGUGAGGCUUGACUAU